AACGAACGCUGGCGGCAUGCCUAACACAUGCAAGUCGAACGAAGCCUUCGGGCUUAGUGGCGCACGGGUGCGUAACACGCGGGAAUCUGCCCUUCGGUUCGGAAUAACAGUUAGAAAUGACUGCUAAUACCGGAUGAUGACGUAAGUCCAAAGAUUUAUCGCCGAAGGAUGAGCCCGCGUAGGAUUAGGUAGUUGGUAGGGUAAUGGCCUACCAAGCCGACGAUCCUUAGCUGGUCUGAGAGGAUGAUCAGCCACACUGGGACUGAGACACGGCCCAGACUCCUACGGGAGGCAGCAGUGGGGAAUAUUGGACAAUGGGCGAAAGCCUGAUCCAGCAAUGCCGCGUGAGUGAUGAAGGCCUUAGGGUUGUAAAGCUCUUUUAUCAGGGAUGAUAAUGACAGUACCUGGAGAAUAAGCUCCGGCUAACUCCGUG
rnacentral:rRNA from 1 species